AGUGAACGCUGGCGGUAGGCCUAACACAUGCAAGUCGAACGGCAGCACAGUAAGAGCUUGCUCUUACGGGUGGCGAGUGGCGGACGGGUGAGGAAUACAUCGGAAUCUACUUUUUCGUGGGGGAUAACAUAGGGAAACUUACGCUAAUACCGCAUACGACCUACGGGUGAAAGCAGGGGAUCUUCGGACCUUGCGCGAUUGAAUGAGCCGAUGUCGGAUUAGCUAGUUGGCGGGGUAAAGGCCCACCAAGGCGACGAUCCGUAGCUGGUCUGAGAGGAUGAUCAGCCACACUGGAACUGAGACACGGUCCAGACUCCUACGGGAGGCAGCAGUGGGGAAUAUUGGACAAUGGGCACAAGCCUGAUCCAGCCAUACCGCGUGGGUGAAGAAGGCCUUCGGGUUGUAAAGCCCUUUUGUUGGGAAAGAAAAGCAGCAGGUUAAUACCCCGCUGUUCUGACGGUACCCAAAGAAUAAGCACCGGCUAACUUCGUG
rnacentral:rRNA from 1 species